UGCUAAUAUAUAUAAUAUAUAUAUAUAUAUAUAUAUAUAUAUAUAUAUAUAUAUAUAUAUAUAUAUAUAUAAUGCAAAAAAAGAUAAAGGUCCUAAAAUGGGCUAAGGAAAAACUACAUUUAUGAAUUUUUUUCUUUGGAGGAAAUUUGACUAUGGGCGUAUUUUCAUGAGAUUGAUUAAGCAGUGCUACCCGUUAUUUCUACUAUUACACAAAUAGAAAUCAGGUAAAUCACAUCUAGUUAGGAAUUCAUCACUUAUUGCUUUGUCAUGUUGUGCCUGGUUAGUAUAUGUGUCUGUAACAUCUACACAAACAUAAUUUUCACACAUAAACACACAUUUCCAGUGAGAGAGAAGAUGUGCUUGAAGUAUCAACAAUACACUGUUUACAGGUUGUGCUCUUAAUACGGUACUACUAAACUACCACAACCAUUCACUCUCAGCUAACUCCUCUAUGACAGUUUCUCAGUCUCUCUGUCUCUCUCUCAGCAAUACAAACACAGCACACGGUCCCAUAUGAUGCCUUUCUGCUGGAGCCUAUAGGGCACAUAUGAGAGAGCUGUGUUCCAUUACACACACACACACACACACACACAAGCUGAGAGCUGUGUUACACACUCACACAGCUGAAAAGGACAGUUCACCCAAAAAUUUAAAUUCUGUCAUCAUUUACUUACCCUCAUGUCAUUCCUUACCUGACUUUCCGGCCACAUACACACUGCAGGUAAAUUCGGUUGUCAGUUCACAUUUGAAUUCUUAAUCCUGUUCUCUACAUACACAGUUAAGCCAUUUACCACCAAAUUAACUCCUGAAAAAUUCAGCCGCAUUUACAAAAAUUCUAUAUAGUGUGAAUUGAACAGGGUUGCCAGGUCUUGUGAAACAAAGCCAGCCCAAUUGCUGAUCAAAACUGGCCCAUUUUUUCUGCGGUUUUCCUUUCAUCAUUAGCAACACUGGUACAAAACCAAACUCAACAACUAGUUGUUCAUGACGUAUUUAAACCCGUGUCUUUUCUUUAUGUGCAAUGCAAGAAAUCACAGUGAACAAGGUAUGGUUUGACUCAUUAGUGUUGCCAGAUCUUGCUAGAAAAAACAGCAAAUAACAACAAGCCCGUAAUGAGCUUAAAUACAAAUUCUUCUAAAUAAGCCAUAUACCAAAAUAUUGUGACAUGCACCUGCGUGCUUUAUUUACUCUACAAUCUGGAUCACUUUAUGAGUGAAGACUAGGCCAAAGACACUUAAUAAAGCAUUGCUUACAAUAAGUGGACAACCCUUUAAGAACGUGACCUGCAAAUCGGCAUUCCAACGACGGCUCUGUUAGCAGUGGUUUAAUUAAAAUAGACAAACUAUUACUUUGUAGUAUUACUUUGAUGAGGGGAAAUAAGUGAUGACAUAGGUUUCAUUUUUGGGUGAACUACUCCUCUGUGAGAGAAGUUUAUUUUCUUUAUAAGAUCAUGUUGUUUGCUGUCAUCUCUGAUGCAACACACAUCGACCUUCCGUAUGUAGAAAUGGAAUUACUUGGAUCCAAUUCUGCCAGAUCUUUGCUCAACACUUCAGUCCAGAUACCACCACUCUUACUGUAUUUUGGGUUUGUGUGUGGUCAGUCAGGUAUCAGGGAUGCUGUGUCAUUUUUAGCCCCUGCAUGUGUUUCUACUGUUGGUGCAGAAAUUCAAUGGUGCCGCAUAUACUCCAUGGUGCAGCUUCAUGGUGCUUCAUUCUUUCUCACUUUCUCCUGGCUUGCGUUCUGCUUCAGGUUCAGCUCGGCUACAUUCACACCGCAGUUGCGUGAUUUCUGGCCCAGAUCUAUUUUUUAAUGAUUUUGAUGAAAAAUCAUGUUAUCAUUUUCCAUUUGAGGCACUUUCAUACGUGGAAAUUAAUCACGGAAACAUGCAAUGUGGUUCAUGCAAUUGUUAACAUCACUACUGGUCAAAAGUUUGGGGUCAAUAAGAUUUUUUUUUGAAAGAUUAACAUGUUUAAUCAACAAGGAUGCAUUCAAUUGAUUCAAUGUCACAAUGAAGACAUUUAUAAUGUUACAUAAGAUUUAUACAGUAUUUCAAGUAAAUGCAGGUCUUAAUAAAUAAUGGAACUUUCUAUUCAUCAAAAAAUCGUCACAAAAUAUGAAGCAACUGUUUUCAACACUGAUAAUACUAAGAAAUGUUUCUUGGAGGAUCAUGUGACACUGAAGAUUGGAGUAAUGCUUAAAAUUCAGCUGUGCAUCACAGAAAUAAAUAACAUUUUAUUCAAAUAGAAAACAGAUAUUUUAAAUUGUAAUAAUAUUUCACAAUAUUGCUGGUUUUACUGUUUGAUAAAGUAAAUGCAGCAUUAGUGAGCAUAAGAGACUUUGAAAAAGAUUGAAAAAUCUUACUGACCUCAAACUUUUAAUUGCGAUAAUUGGAUGAUUGAUUUAACCUUGGUGUAAAUUUGAAUAAUUUUUCAAUUCUACUCUAUGAGGAGAUUGUAAUAUUUACAUAAAAUAUGUAAAUAAAUUAAAUGUCUUCAAAUGUCUUUAUAGAAAAACUGUGGUGUCCUAAAGUCAGGGGUCACACUGAAAAUCUGGGAUUCAAAGUGUAAUUUGAAAAUAAGCAGAUUUAUUUAUAGGAUUUAGAAAAAAAGAAAUUGACAAAAUUAAUAGAAAAAUAUUUCCAAUUCUGAAUCAGGCUCUUGCGAUGUGAACAUAGCCUUUCUCUCUCAUGCUGAACUACGUACGAAUCAGCCUACGUGCUAAUCUACAGGCUGACUAGUAUUCUGACCAUUCUGGUUUUUGACAGUCUUGACAUAUUCAGUGCUCCUUUGCUCAGGAUUCUGGGAAAGUGGCCCAUCUGUGUGAUGUCAUAAAAGCUGGUCACAUGGUGCUCCCAGAAUCCAGAGUCCUCUUGUGGUGCAAGUGGAGAGUUCACACUUGGGUAAUGUGCAAACUGGAUUACUGUAAAACUCUACUAUGUGUGCUGUUUUAUAAUCCUGUUUCACAUCUGAAAUAAACAGGACUCUGGUGCUCACAGAGAUGUGCUUCGAAAUUGAGGAUUUUUGUACGAAUUUGCUAAUUCAGUUGGCCCUCGCUGGAAGGAAGAGUUUAUACAGAUCACAUUUCAACCGUGAAAGAAAACUUUUCUGGUUUCUCUCUAACCAAACUAGCACAUUGGACUACUUCUUAUUUGGGGGUUGCUCAUUUCUUCAAACUUUUGACUGACGUGUUGAAAGCUGGUCAACCAACUCAUUACCUGAAUGAUGGUUUUGUUUGCAGUUUAGAUUCAGAUCUGAAUCGUUAUGUCACAGUUGAUGUUGAAAUAUGCUUAUGGCCCACAGGUUAUAGUAAACUUCUGCUAAGAAACUGAACUUAAAGGAAAACAUCCUGCUAUUUAGUCGUUUGAUUGGAUUGUUUGAUAGUAAUUCACUUUGAGCAAACAUUACACAUUAUCGUAUUUCAGGCGAUUUUUGUCUAAUUUCAGUAAGUUUUGAGUUCCCUCAGAUCCAUUUAUCAAGUUUAAAUGCAAAAACGUCAGCGUAUUCUGUCUAGAAAUUACUUACAGAGAGACAGUCGAUUUUUGUUUUGUCAAAAAUCUUAUGAAAACACUCCAGAAACCUCUCAGAAGAACAUGCACUUCCAUGACCAGCAUGAUUUUUUUUUUUUUUAGUUUUUUAGACAAAUCUACCCCUAAACUCAAUUUAGCCUUACAUGAUGGAUUUGUUUUUUACAAACACACAGCUUUUCACUUCACAAGACAUUAACUGAUGGACUGGAGCGGUGUGGAUUGCUUGUGGAUUAUUGUGAUGUUUUUAUCAGCUGUUUGGACUCUCAUUCUGAUGGCACCCAUUCACUGCAGUGGAUCCACUGGUGAGCAAGUCAUGCAAUUUCUCCAAAUCCGUUCUCAUGAAGAAACAAACUCAUCUACAUCUUGGAAAGCCUGAGGCCUCGUCCAACUGAUCAGUCCACAGGUCUCUCUCUUAUACUUUUCUUCAUCCGCUGUAACACAUUUAUCCUCACCCUCUCUCUCUCGCUCGGUGUGGCUGUAGUUCUGUUGUGUUUUGAUGGUCUUUGGAUUGUUAUAGUAGCAGUUCAUCCUUCCAUAAUUCUCUCUGUACACAGUGAAAGGAGAGAUGGCCGAACACUGCGGCUCCUUUCCUGUGCACUUGUGCUGGGGAACACUUGAAUUAAAUGUACUGUUUUU
ensembl:lncRNA